rnacentral:rRNA from 1 species
UACGGAGGGGGCUAGCGUUGUUCGGAAUUACUGGGCGUAAAGCGCACGUAGGCGGUCUUUUAAGUCGGGGGUGAAAUCCUGGAGCUCAACUCCAGAACUGCCUUCGAUACUGGCGAUCUUGAGUCCGGAAGAGGUGAGUGGAACUCCUAGUGUAGAGGUGGAAUUCGUAGAUAUUCGGAAGAACACCAGUGGCGAAGGCGGCUCACUGGUCCGAUACUGACGCUGAGGUGCGAAAGCGUGGGGAGCAAACAGG